GGCAACAACAGUUCCACUUGGAAGCUGAAAACCUGAAUCUCAGAGAAGCAGCCCCCAAGGCUGGAGAUACCUCCCCAAGGCCCUGGGAGCACAUCCAUAAUUCUCUUCAGGGUGGGAGAGGCUGAUGUUACUUCCUCAAGGAUGGAUACAAUUAAGAAUGAUGUGCAGAGGAAAGACAUCACCUUGCCCUUACUCAGCAACAGAAAAUACGGUUGAGAUGCAGUCUUAUUGCUAACACCUGACAAACUGAGAAGGAAGUAGAAAACCAUAAACUAAGAAGGCAUUUGGAAGAACUUGUAGAGAAAACAAUUUUGAUGAAAGUAUUGUUGCAAGCCAACAACAAUGACACUGAGUGUUUCACAAAAACCUCUACAAUAGAAAUAAACCUGAAUAUCA